rnacentral:rRNA from 1 species
AACCGAAGGCAAGCCGUGCCAUUCCUUUGGAUAGGUGGUUGUUUGGUUUGGCGGGUGCGUUCCCUCGGGGGCGUGCUCGUCGGGCUCGACGGCUGCUGGUCUGAUUGAUUUGGUGCGGUAUGCUCUUGAGAACCGCGGCGUCCGUGUCUCGCCCUCACGUUGGCUCCUAACCGUCGCCGGUUAGCGAGACGGCGGAGGCGCGUGGACUACCGACGCUGCGGGGCUACGUCGCUUACUUGCGUCCCCAUGUCGCUGUCGUCGGCUCGUGGCUGUACUGCUUGCAGUGCACUGCGACCGGUGGCUGUCGGGAGGGGCGCGACUCCGCGGCGGGCUCUCGGGAGUGCCGUCGGUGCAUUAUUUGACCCGUCUUGAAACACGGACCAAGGAGUUUAGCAUGAUCGCGAGUCAUUGGGCGCGUAAAACCCAUUGGCGUAAUGAAAGUGAGUCGCACGCGAUCUGGUGAUUUUCGAAUCGUCAGCGCAGCGUGGCCCCAUGGCAAGGCCUUGGCCUACUGUGGAGGCUGAGCGAUCACGCUUAGACCCGAAAGAUGGUGAACUAUGCUUGUGCAGCCUGAAGCCAGAGGAAACUCUGGUGGAGGGGCGAAG